UCGAGGGGCAGCAUGGUCUUAGCUUGCUAAGGCUGAUGGCGACCGGCGCACGGGUGAGUAACACGUAUCCAACCUGCCGUCUACUCUUGGCCAGCCUUCUGAAAGGAAGAUUAAUCCAGGAUGGGAUCAUGAGUUCACAUGUCCGCAUGAUUAAAGGUAUUUUCCGGUAGACGAUGGGGAUGCGUUCCAUUAGAUAGUAGGCGGGGUAACGGCCCACCUAGUCAACGAUGGAUAGGGGUUCUGAGAGGAAGGUCCCCCACAUUGGAACUGAGACACGGUCCAAACUCCUACGGGAGGCAGCAGUGAGGAAUAUUGGUCAAUGGGCGAUGGCCUGAACCAGCCAAGUAGCGUGAAGGAUGACUGCCCCAUGGGUUGUAAACUUCUUUUAUAAAGGAAUAAAGUCGGGUAUGCAUACCCGUUUGCAUGUACUUUAUGAAUAAGGAUCGGCUAACUCCGUGCCAGCAGCCGCGGUAAUACGGAGGAUCCGAGCGUUAUCCGGAUUUAUUGGGUUUAAAGGGAGCGUAGAUGGAUGUUUAAGUCAGUUGUGAAAGUUUGCGGCUCAACCGUAAAAUUGCAGUUGAUACUGGAUGUCUUGAGUGCAGUUGAGGCAGGCGGAAUUCGUGGUGUAGCGGUGAAAUGCUUAGAUAUCACGAAGAACUCC
rnacentral:rRNA from 1 species